GCCAAUUCUUCAUUAACUGCUGCGAGUUCUGCUGUAGCAUUCUUAAGGGCUUCUUCAACUUUCUGGUUUUCUGCAAUCUUCUCAUACAGGCCCUUGACUUCCUCCUGAAGGGAAGCCAUCCGAUCUUCCAUUUCUUUUGCACUUGAUUUUGUUUCUCCAAGCAGCCUCUCAAGCUCCAAUGCCCUUUGUGUCUCAGAUUCAGCAUGUGAACCACUUUGUUUGUGCAACUCCUCAAACCUCAUUGCCUCAACUUCAGAAAAUUGGAGCUUUUGCUCCAAC
rnacentral:misc_RNA from 1 species